UACGGAGGGGGCUAGCGUUGUUCGGAAUUACUGGGCGUAAAGCGUGCGCAGGCGGUUAUGCAAGACAGAGGUGAAAUCCCCGGGCUCAACCUGGGAACUGCCUUUGUGACUGCAUAGCUAGAGUGCGGCAGAGGGGGAUGGAAUUCCGCGUGUAGCAGUGAAAUGCGUAGAUAUGCGGAGGAACACCGAUGGCGAAGGCAAUCCCCUGGGCCUGCACUGACGCUCAUGCACGAAAGCGUGGGGAGCAAACAGG
rnacentral:rRNA from 1 species